UACGAAGGGGGCUAGCGUUGUUCGGAAUCACUGGGCGUAAAGCGCACGUAGGCGGAUUGUUAAGUCAGGGGUGAAAUCCUGGAGCUCAACUCCAGAACUGCCUUUGAUACUGGCGAUCUUGAGUUCGGGAGAGGUGAGUGGAACUGCGAGUGUAGAGGUGAAAUUCGUAGAUAUUCGCAAGAACACCAGUGGCGAAGGCGGCUCACUGGCCCGAUACUGACGCUGAGGUGCGAAAGCGUGGGGAGCAACAGG
rnacentral:rRNA from 1 species